GCCGGGGUGGCUCAGUGGCUGAGCAUCGACCUUUGAACCCGGAGGUCACGGUUCGAUUCC
rnacentral:tRNA from 1 species